UACGGGGGGAGCAAGCGUUGUUCGGAAUUACUGGGCGUAAAGGGCUCGUAGGCGGCCAACUAAGUCGGAUGUGAAAUCCCCAGGCUUAACCUGGGAACUGCAUCCGAUACUGGAUGGCUUGAAUCCGGGAGAGGGAUGCAGAAUUCCAGGUGUAGCGGUGAAAUGCGUAGAUAUCUGGAGGAAUACCGGUGGCGAAGGCGGCAUCCUGGACCGGCAUUGACGCUGAUGAGCGAAAGCUAGGGGAGCAAACGGG
rnacentral:rRNA from 1 species